UAAGGGAUAUUGCACAAUGGGCGCAAGCCUGAUGCAGCAACGCCGCGUGUGGGAAGAAGGGUUUCGGCUCGUAAACCACUUUUCUGUCGGAAGAAGGAUGACGGUACGACAGGAAGAAGUCUCGGCUAACUACGUGCCAGCAGCCGCGGUAAAACGUAGGAGGCGAGCGUUAUCCGGAUUUACUGGGCGUAAAGCGCGUGCAGGUGGUCUUUUAAGUCGUGUGUGAAAGCGCUCAGGCUCAACCGGGCGAGGUCAUGCGAAACUGGGAGACUAGAGGCAGUUAGAGGCGAGUGGAAUUCCGGGUGGAGUGGUGAAAUGCGUAGAGAUCCGGAGGAACACCAGAGGCGAAGGCGGCUCGCUGGGACUGACCUGACACUCAGACGCGAAAGCAUGGGGAGCG
rnacentral:rRNA from 1 species